GAGAUCUACACUCUUUCCCUACACGACGCUCUUCCGAUCUCGAAGAAGGACGUAGCAAUCUGCGAUAAGCCUCGGGGAGCUGAUAAGCGAGCUUUGAUCCGAGGAUGUCCGAAUGGGGAAACCCCGCUGGGAGCUUCGUGCUACCCAGUGACUCCCGCCUGAAUAUAUAGGGCGGGUAGAGGGAACGUGGGGAAGUGAAACAUCUCAGUACCCACAGGAAGAGAAAACAACAGUGAUUCCGGUAGUAGUGGCGAGCGAAACCGGAACAGGCCAAACCGAUCAUGUGUGAUAGCCGGCAGGCGUUGCAUGGUCGGGGUUGUGGGACUCUUACGGUUUUCUGCCGAAAACCACGUAGAUAGUUGUUGUAUAGACAAAUGGUCUUGAAAGGCCAGCCGCAGAGGGUGCCAGCCCCGUAGUUGAAAUGCAGCACUAAUGCGAAGAGGAUCCCAAGUAUCACGGGGCCCGAGAAAUCCCGUGUGAAUCUGCCAGGACCACCUGGUAAGCCUAAAUACUCCCAGAUGACCGAUAGCGGACAAGUACCGUGAGGGAAAGGUGAAAAGUACCCCGGGAGGGGAGUGAAAUAGAACCUGAAACCGUUUGCUUACAAUCCGUUGGAGCCUCCUUGUAGGGGUGACAGCGUGCCUUUUGAAGAAUGAGCCUGCGAGUUAGCGAUAUGUGGCGAGGUUAACCCGUGAGGGGUAGCCGUAGCGAAAGCGAGUCUGAAUAGGGCGAUUCAGUCGCAUGUCCUAGACCCGAAGCGAAGUGAUCUAUCCAUGGCCAGGUUGAAGCGACGGUAAGACGUCGUGGAGGACCGAACCCACUUGGGUUGAAAACCGAGGGGAUGAGCUGUGGAUAGGGGUGAAAGGCCAAUCAAACUUCGUGAUAGCUGGUUCUCUCCGAAAUGCAUUUAGGUGCAGCGUUGCGUGUUUCUUGCCGGAGGUAGAGCUACUGGAUGGCCGAUGGGCCCUAAAAGGUUACUGACGUCAGCCAAACUCCGAAUGCCGGUAAGUAAGAGCGCAGCAGUGAGACGGUGGGGGAUAAGCUUCAUCGUCGAGAGGGAAACAACCCAGACUACCGACUAAGGUCCCAAAGCGUGUGCUAAGUGGAAAAGGAUGUGGAGUUGCAUAGACAACCAGGAGGUUGGCUUAGAAGCAGCCACCCUUGAAAGAGUGCGUAAUAGCUCACUGGUCAAGUGAUUCCGCGCCGACAAUGUAACGGGGCUCAAGCACACCACCGAAGUCGUAGCAUUCAAACUAUAGGUAGGCCUUCGUGGUCCAGCCGUGUGAAUGGGUAGGAGAGCGUCGUGUGGCGAGCGAAGCGGCGGAGUGAUCCAGCCGUGGACGCCACACGAGUGAGAAUGCAGGCAUGAGUAGCGAAAGACGGGUGAGAAACCCGUCCUCCGGAAGACCAAGGGUUCCAGGGCCAGGCUAAUCCGCCCUGGGUAAGUCGGGACCUAAGACGAGGCCGACAGGCGUAGUCGAUGGACAACGGGUUGAUAUUCCCGUACCCGCGAAGAACCGCAAGAGCUAAACCAGUAAUGCUAAGAGUCCGAAUUCUCUUUCUGAUCCCUUCGGGGUGAGGAUUGAGAGCUAGCACUCGACCCUAUGCUGGCGCGGCUAGCGUAUUAACAGGUGUGACGCAGGAAGGUAGCUGAGCCGGGCGAUGGUUGUCCCGGUGUAAGGAUGUAGGGCGAGGAAUAGGCAAAUCCGUUCCUCACGAAGCCUGAGAUCCGACGCGUACCCCUCACGGGGGAAAUCAGUGAUCCUAUGCUGCCAAGAAAAGCAUCGACGCGAGGUUCUAGUGGCCCGUACCCCAAACCGACUCAGGUGGUCAGGUAGAGAAUACUAAGGAGAUCGAGAGAAUCGUGGUUAAGGAACUCGGCAAAAUGCCCCCGUAACUUCGGGAGAAGGGGGGCCGGAUUGGUGAAGGGAUUUACUCCUGGAGCUAUGAAGGCCGCAGAGACCAGUGGGAAGCGACUGUUUACUAAAAACACAGGUCCGUGCUAAGUCGCAAGACGAUGUAUACGGACUGACGCCUGCCCGGUGCUGGAAGGUUAAGAGGAGCGGUUAGCACUUGUGCAAAGCUGCGAAUUUAAGCCCCAGUAAACGGCGGUGGUAACUAUAACCAUCCUAAGGUAGCGAAAUUCCUUGUCGGGUAAGUUCCGACCUGCACGAAUGGCGUA
rnacentral:rRNA from 1 species